rnacentral:rRNA from 1 species
CACGUGGGUAACCUGCCCCAUUGACCGGGACAACCCGAGGAAACUCGGGCUAAUACCGGAUGAGCUCUCAACCCAUCAGGGUUGUGAGGAAAGGAAGCUUCGGCCUCCGCAUUGGGAUGGGCCCGCGGCCCAUUAGCUAGUUGGUGGGGUAAUGGCCUACCAAGGCUUCGAUGGGUAGCUGGUCUGAGAGGACGAUCAGCCACACUGGGACUGAGACACGGCCCAGACUCCUACGGGAGGCAGCAGUGGGGAAUCUUGCGCAAUGCGCGAAAGCGUGACGCAGCAACGCCGCGUGUGGGA